AGUGAACGCUGGCGGUAGGCCUAACACAUGCAAGUCGAACGGCAGCACAGUAAGAGCUUGCUCUUACGGGUGGCGAGUGGCGGACGGGUGAGGAAUACAUCGGAAUCUACUUUUUCGUGGGGGAUAACGUAGGGAAACUUACGCUAAUACCGCAUACGACCUACGGGUGAAAGCAGGGGAUCUUCGGACCUUGCGCGAUUGAAUGAGCCGAUGUCGGAUUAGCUAGUUGGCGGGGUAAAGGCCCACCAAGGCGACGAUCCGUAGCUGGUCUGAGAGGAGGAUCAGCGACACUGGAACUGAGACACGGUCCAGACUCCUACGGGAGGCAGCAGUGGGGAAUAUUGGACGAUGGGAGCAAGCCUGAUCCAGCCAUACCGCGUGGGUGAAGAAGGCAUUCGGGUUGUAAAGCCCUUUUGUUGGGAAAGAAAAGCAGCAGGUUAAUACCCCGCUGUUAUGACGGUACCCAAAGAAUAAGCACCGGCUAACUUCGUG
rnacentral:rRNA from 1 species